rnacentral:lncRNA from 1 species
GCCUGCCACCACACUCACCUAAUUUUUUGUAUUUUUAGUAGAGACGGGGUUUCACCGUGUUAGCCAGGAUGGUCUCAAUCUCCUGACCUCAUGAUCUGCCCUCCUCGGCCUCCCAAAGUGCUGGGAUUACAGGCGUGAGCCACCGCGCCCAGCCUGUUAUUUUUUCUUUAAACAGUGAAGAGGGUUUCAAGGAAUCUCUCCUUAAAGGCAAAGACCCUGCCCAACUGAGUGUUGAGGCCUUUGUAGUGGACUGACCUGGGUUAAUUUCUGGCUCUGGGUUCUGCCUUGGGCAAAUCACUUUCUUUCUCUAAGCCUCAGUUUCCUCCUCCAUGCAAUGGGCAGAGUAGAGGGGAAUAAAUGAGAAUCAUCUCAAGUAUUGACUGGCUCAGCACAGUGCCUAGAAUCUGUGUCUAAUAAGUGAACUUUUAUUUUCCCUUUUUUUUACUUGUUUAUUUGACUACAUGAAUACCUUCAAAAAGUACAGAGUGAAAGUAAAGAGUGAAAAAUGGGUGGGUCUCCCUUCCUCCCUGUUCCUUUACCCACCCACUUCCCUUUCAGAGAUAUAAUCAGGAUUACAGGUUUCAAAACGGUUUUGAAUUUAUAGGACUAUAACAAGAAUAAUUCAGAGAAUUCCAUAUACCCUUUACCCAGAAUCACCUGUCUUUACUAUUUUGCCAUGUUUGUUUUAUUAUCUUUUCUUUCUUCAUGUGACUAUGUUUAUUAUUAUUAUUUUUCUGAACUAUUAUAGUUUUCAUACAUCAUGCCGCAUUUACCUCUUAAUAUUUCCGCAUAUGUUUACUAGGAACACGAUAUUAUUUGCUGUAACCACAGCACUGUUACCAAAUUCAGAAAAUUUACCUUGAUGCCCCAUUUACCUCAUAAUAUUUCAGCAUGUAUUUCCUAAGAACAAGAUAUUAUUUGCUAUAGGCUGGGUGCAGUGGCUCACUCCUGUGAUCCCAGCACUUUGGGAGGCUGAGGCGGGUGGAUCACCUGAGGUCAGGAGUUUGAGACCAGCCUGACCAACAUGGCGAAACCCUGUCUCUACUAAAAAUACAAAACUAGCCGGGUGUGGUGGUGCACACCUGUAACCCCAGCUACUUGGGAGGCUGAGGCAAGAGAAUCGCUUGAACUCAGGAGGUAGAGGUUGCAGUGAGCUGAGACUGCACCACUGCACUCCAGCCUGGGCAACAGAGUGAGACUCUGUCUCAAAAAUAACAUAAAAGAAAAUAGAUAUUAUUUUCUGUAAUCACAGCAGUGUUACUAAAAAAUUUACCUUGAUUACCAUCCAUACGCCAAUUUUGUCAGUUGUGGUAAAAAAAAAAAAAAAAAAAAAAAGAAUCCCUUACAGCUUUUUCCCGCCUAGUGCAGGAUCCACUUCAGGACCAUGUUUUGUCUGUCUUUUUUAUUUUUUUUUUCUUGAGACGGAGUCUUGCUCCGUCACCCAGGCUGGAGUGCAGUGGCACAAUCCUGGCUCACUGCAACCUCCACCUCCUGGGUUCAAGCAAUUCUCCUGUCGCAGCCUCCCGAGUAGCUAGGACUGCAGGCGCCUGCCACCACGCCCUGCUAAUUUUUGUAUUUUUAGUAGAGAUGGGAUUUCGCCUUGUUGAUCAGGCUGGUCACAAACUCCUGACCUCAAGUGAUCCACCCACCUCAGCCUCCCAAAGUGCUGGGAUUACAGGCUUGAGUCACCGCGCCUGGCCUAAUUGUCUCUCAUCUGAAAUGAUGCCUCUGCUUUUCUUUGUCUUUUAUGACCUUGACAUUUUUUGAAGAAUACAGGCCAGUUAUUUCAUAGAAUGUUCCUCAUUUGGGGUUUGUUUAACAGAGUACCCCAAAUUUCUGUAGGAUAGGAAUUCAGGAAGGGCAUAGUGGGGAAAAAUUCUAUCUGCUCUAAGGCUCACUCCUGUAAUGCCAGCACUGAGGCCUCAGCUGGAAAACUCAAAGGCUAGAAGCGAGAGUUACCUGAAGUCUCACUGUCUGGCAGCUAAUGCAGGCUGCUGGCUGGGGCUUGGCUGAGGCCCCACACACAGCCUCUCUACGUAUCCUGAGCUUCUUUCCAACUAUGGCAGCUGGGAUGGAAGGGCAAGCAUCCAAAUGGAGAAAGCCAUACUGUCUUUUUUAUUUUUUAUUUUUAUUUUUUGAGACGGAGCCUCGCUCUAUCGCCCAGGCUGGAGUGCAGUGGUGAGAUCUCAGCUCACUGCAAACUCUGCCCUCAGGGUUCAAGUGAUUCACGUGUCUCAGCCUCCCAAGUAGCUGGGAUUACAGACGCCCGUCAUCAUGACCAGCUAAUUUUUUUGGAGACAAGAGUUUUGCUCAGUCUCCCAGGCUGGAGUGCAGUGGCAUCAUCUCAGCUCACUGCAACCUCCACCUUCUGAGUUCAAGUGAUUCUCCUGCCUUAGCCUCCCGAGUAGCUGGGAUUACAGGUAUGUGCCACCACGCCCAGCUAAUUUUUGUAUUAUUACUAGAGAUGGGGUUUCACCAUGUUGGCCAGGCUGGUCUCGAUCUCCUGAUCUCAGGUGAUCCACCUGCCUCAGCCUCCCAAAGUGCUGGGAUUACAGGUGUGAGCCACCGCACCCAGCCACUAAUUUUUAUAUUUUUAGUAGAAAUGGGAUUUUGACAUGUUGGCCAGGCUGGGUUUGAACUCCUGACCUCAAGUGAUCUGCCCAUCUCGGCCUCCGAAGUGUUGGCAUUACAGGCGUGAGCCGCCACACCUGGCCUGUCAAUAUUGUUUUAAUGAUGGUUGCUCCUUCUCAGGCUUUCCUCACAUACUGUUUUUUUUUUUUUUAGACAGGUUCUGGUUCUGUCACCUAAGCCUCCUGAGUAGCUGACAUUACAGGUGUGUGCCACGAGCUUGGCUAAUUUAUUUAUUUAUUAUAUUAAAUAUAUAUAUAUUUAUAUAUAAUAUUAAAUAAUAUAUGUAUAUAUAUUUAUAUAUAAUAUAUAUAUUAAAUAAUGAAAUAUAUUAAAUAAUAAAUAAAUAAAUAAUUUAUUUAUUGUUUUGUAGAGAUGGGAGUCUCACUAUAUUGCCCAGGCUCAUCUCAAACUCCUGGCCUCAAGCAUUCCUUCCACCUCAGCCUCCCAAACGGCUAGGAUUACAGGUGUGAGCCACCACACCCAGCCCUCCCUCAUACAUUCAAAUGGCCAACUCCCUUGGCUUCCUCAAGUCUUUGCUUAAAUGCCAUCUUCUCAGGAAGUCAUUUUCUGAACACUCUAUUAAAAAUUGCAACCUGCCCCCAAACACGUCUUGCACUCACUGUCCGUGUCUCUGCUUAAAUUUUCUCCGUAGCACUCAUACCAUCUAACAUACUGUGCAUUUACUUGUUUAUUUUUAUUUUUUUGAGACAGGGUCUCACUCUGUUGCCCAGGCUGGAGUGCAGUAGUGUGAUCAUGGUUCAUUGUAACCUCUGUCUCCUGGACUCAAGCAAUCCUCUCACCUUAGCCUCCCAAGUAGCUGGUACCACAAGUGCACAUCAUCACACCUGGCUAAUUUUUGUAUUUUUUGUACAGAAGGGGUUUCGCCAUGCUGACCAGGCUCAUCUCAAACUCCUGGGUUCCAGCGAUCCACCCGCCUCAGCCUCCCAAAGUGCUGGGAUUAUAAGUGAACCAUCAUGCUGGGCAAUUUAUUUAUUUAUUUUCCGUUUCCCUCUACUAAUGAAUCAGCUCCAGGAGUGCAGGGACCUUGUCUGUUUUCUACACAGAUGCGUUCCCAGCACCUAGCACAGUGCCUAGCAGGUAUGUGAAUGAAUGAAUGAAUGAAUCCAUGCAUGCAUGAAUGAAGUAUCCUUGUACAAACCAUGAACCAUGUACAUGUUAGGUGUCUACAACUUGUCGUUUGAAUUAAUGAAUAAAAGAACAGGCAAGGCGCGGUGGCUCACACCUGCAAUCCCAGCACUUUGGGAGGCCGAGGUGGGCGGAUCAUCUGAGGUUGGGAGUUCAAGACCAGCCUGACUAACAUGGAGGAACCCUGUCUCUACUGAAAAUAGAAAAUUAUCCAGGCGUGGUGGCGCAUGCCUGUAAUCCCAGCUUGGGAAGCUGAGACAGGAGAAUCGCUUGAACUCGGGAGGCAGAUGUUGCGGUGAGCCAAGAUCGUGCCAUUGCGCUCCAGCCUGGGCAACAAGAGUGAAACUCUGUCUCAAAAAAAAAAAAAAGAAAGAACAGACAGCACCAACCCUCCUUGUAAGUUCAAUAUGAGGUUGAUCUGAAGCUGCCACCCAAGGCUACUGAUCAAAAUAUCCUUCUAAACAAGUCUGUCCCACAGUCCUGGCGUCUGAUAAUAUGGACAGUCAGGCUGGCUGGCACCAGACUGGACCCAGAUGAAGGAAUGGAAUCAGGCCACAUUACAGGGGCAAGAGGAGCCUUGUGGCCAGAGGUUCUAGAGGUCAGCAGCAAGUCAUGCAUCUGAAGAGGAAGUUGAUUGCUGUACCUCAAGCUGAAACAGAAACUGCGGUGGCUAGCAAGGAAGGGUCCCCACCUGUGCGCCUCAGCCCCUUGGCCAUUGCCAGCUUCCAACAGACCACAGAGACUUUUGGGGGAAAACUUUUUUAUUGAAGUGUAACAGACAUACAGAAAAGUGCACAAAUAAGGAAAGUGCACAGGGGAGCGAUGGCUCGAUACAUUUUCACAAAGGCAGACAGCGGGGUAACCAGCCCCCAGCUCAAGGAACAGAACAUUCCCCGCCCCGGAGAAGCUCCCUUCAAGUCUUUCCCAUCCUAAGCGAUAACCGUUAUCCUGAUUCCAACAGCAGUGAUGAUUUUUGCCGUUUUUUGAACUUGAUGAAAUGGCAGCACAUAACACGUAUUCUUUUGUGUAAGACUUACUUACUACAAACUUUGUAUGUUUGUAGCAACAGCCUUUUGACCCUGUCUCUUCCUCCAUGCCCUCAAAGAGAAAAAGGAACCUAAUAAUAACACAAAAUAAAGCGAAAGCAUACUUGCUUGACUGGUUUAAAUGUGCCAUCUGGCCGGGCAUUUUGGAGGCCGAGGCGGGUGGAUCACUUGAAGUCAGGAUUUCGAGACUAGCCUGGCCAACAUGGUGAAACCCCAUCUCUACUAAAAGUACAAAAAUUAGCUGGGCAUGGUGGUGGGCACUUGUAAUCCCAGCUACUUGGGAGGCUGAGGAAGGAGAAUCGCUUGAACCUGGGAGGCAGGGGUUGCAGUGAGCAGAGAUCGUGCCACUGCACUCCAGCCUGGAUGACAGAGGGUGACUCCAUCUCUCAAAAAAUAAAAUAAAAUAAAAUAAAAUAAAAUAAAAUAUAAAAUAAAAUGUGCCAUCCAUUCUUUCAUGCUUCAGCCACCCAGUGGGCUGGAACUGUUACUGCUUCCAUUUCAAAUAUUGGGAGGCUGAGGCACAGAGAGGUUAAAUAAUUUGCUCAGCCAGGAAGUGAAGGUCUGUAUUUAAAGCCAGGUCUCUCUGAUCUCCAAGCUCAUGUUCUAACCCAGCAUACACUCCUUAUCAAUAAAAUGACCAUGUAUUGAACACCCUCUUUGGACUGAAUACUAUACUUCAACUUUAUGUCCAUUGUCUUAUUUGAUUUUCCCAGCCGUUGAUGAGUAAUAUACCAUUAUCCUUGCUUAGCAAAUGAUGAAAGCAGGGUUCAGAGAGGUUAAGGAACUUUCCUAACGUCAUACAGCCCAGGAAGGCAUGAAAUAAAAAUUUAAACUCUAUUUUGUUGAUUCCAAAGUCCAGUGCAGAACGAUAUCAGUACCCAGCAUUUAUGC